UCCUUUGUAGUUCAGUCAGUAGAUCAUGGGCCUCUUAAUCUCAGGGUUGUGGGUUUGAGCCCCGUGUUGGGCA